rnacentral:rRNA from 1 species
AUUGAACGCUGGCGGCAGGCCUAACACAUGCAAGUCGAGCGGCAGCGACUUAACUGAACCUUCGGGGAACGUUAAAGGCGGCGAGCGGCGGACGGGUGAGUAAUGCCUGGGAAUAUGCCCUGAUGUGGGGGAUAACUAUUGGAAACGAUAGCUAAUACCGCAUAAUCUCUUCGGAGCAAAGAGGGGGACCUUCGGGCCUCUCGCGUCAGGAUUAGCCCAGGUGGGAUUAGCUUGUUGGUGAGGUAAUGGCUCACCAAGGCAACGAUCCCUAGCUGGUCUGAGAGGAUGAUCAGCCACACUGGAACUGAGACACGGUCCAGACUCCUACGGGAGGCAGCAGUGGGGAAUAUUGCACAAUGGGGGAAACCCUGAUGCAGCCAUGCCGCGUGUGUGAAGAAGGCCUUCGGGUUGUAAAGCACUUUCAGUAGGGAGGAAGGUAGUGUAGUUAACACCUGCACUAUUUGACGUUACCUACAGAAGAAGCACCGGCUAACUCCGUGCCAGCAGCCGCGGUAAUACGGAGGGUGCGAGCGUUAAUCGGAAUUACUGGGCGUAAAGCGCAUGCAGGCGGCCUGUUAAGUCAGAUGUGAAAGCCCGGGGCUUAACCUCGGAAUUGCAUUUGAAACUGGCAGGCUAGAGUCUUGUAGAGGGGGGUAGAAUUUCAGGUGUAGCGGUGAAAUGCGUAGAGAUCUGAAGGAAUACCAGUGGCGAAGGCGGCCCCCUGGACAAAGACUGACGCUCAGAUGCGAAAGCGUGGGGAGCAAACAGG